AGUUUGAGUUAAGAGUAGUAAAUAACUUGCUCCCAGGAAAAGAACCGUGUGAGGAGGCCCCGGGGCGUUACAGCCUUUACUUUGAAGGGGACAAAUCCUUCUCACUUUAACAAAUUGGUGUUUCCGCCCGUGACCUGGAAGCAAAACAACAGAGCCACCGACGGAAAAAGCUCCACAGCCUGCGGCCGAAACAACUGAUAAGGACCCUGAACAGGAACAGGUGGAGCAAAACGGGGCUCAGGGAGGUGAGCAGGCACUCGACACUUCAGAGGGUAAGAAAAACCUUUCAUGAGUACAUCUAAUAUUGCAGAAACAGAGCCUAUUAUGGACCCCAGUCCACACCAAGGUGUCAGAGAAAUAUUUCGUAAGGCUGGUGAUGCAAUGUUUCCAUCAAACCCAUGUGUGCAGAUGCCUGUUAUGGAGUUGCGUGAAGGUCAGAUAAAUUGUGAAAUAAGGCCUACAGAGGAAGAAUUGGGACAAGAGGUACGAAAGGAGUUUCAGAUGCAAGAUUUAAUAGAGGAGGCGGUAAAUAAAGCAUUUCAGCAUUUCAGUUCCUAUUGUUAUGAAAAUGUCGAUGUUUCUGUGAUUUUUGGAGGUGAACCUUCGAAAGGAAAGCUUAAAAUAUAAGAGGUUGAUAUAUUUACAAUUUACGAUGUCUUGAAAUUAACAUUUUAAAGGUAAGAAGAUCAAUUAGUACAUUUUCAGUGCGGUAAACCCCAACCCCGGCCCAACAUUGAGCUCCAGAAGGUGGAUCACACAGAGCAGCCUUUCACUUAGAGGCAGGAGAGAAAGGAAAAAGCAGACACAGAGAGACUGAGUGCACACAGGGCCGAUCACAGCAGAAGCAGGGCCCAGGAGUCUAGAAGCAGUUUUUACCUUAAAGACAUCUACCAAUUACUACACUAGAAUGGUAUUGUAAUCUGCAUUUAGAGUGACUGAUUCAGGAGCUUAUAUUUGAAAAUGUUAGACCACACAAGCUAAGUUUGUCAAACUUUAGCAAAGUGAAUAUAAAUUAAACACUGAUCACUGAGGAUACUCUAAGGUGGAUUAAAUGGAUCUUUACUCAGUCAACUGUUCAGAAUAGAGUGGGUUACAUUAAACAGAUAAAUUAGGACGGUUGAGUUCAGUGGAUAAAAGAGAGGCAGACAGCAGUAGAUGAAAUGGAGGGUGAGUUGGAUAGAGAAGGGGAGAAAUGGGCAAAGAAGAUCGAAGUGCGGGUUCAGUAAGAAUUAGAGAAAGGAAGUCAAUGCAGCAAUACUAGGGAGGCCGGGAUCCCACAAGUUGUGUAGUUAUGGAGGUGGUUUUUGAGAAAUUUCCAGCAGCAGUGAUAGAUAUUUUGAUUGAGGGCAGCAACUGUCCUUUUAUGGUUAAUACGGGGGCCAGAUACAGCCCCAUGAAUCUUUAUGUGCCCACCUG